rnacentral:rRNA from 1 species
GGGGAGUGAAAUAGUACCUGAAACUGGAUGCCUACAAACAGUGGGAGGCCGCAAGGCUGACCGCGUACCUUUUGUAUAAUGGGUCAACGACUUAGUGCAGCAAGCAAGCUUAAGCCGAUAGGUGUAGGCGUAGCGAAAGCGAGUCUUAAUAGGGCGCCUAGUUUGUUGCAUUAGACCCGAAACCGAGUGAUCUAGCCAUGAGCAGGUUGAAGGUUGGGUAACACCAACUGGAGGACCGAACCCGCAUCUGUUGCAAUAGAUUGGGAUGACUUGUGGUUAGGGGUGAAAGGCCAAUCAAACUCGGAGAUAGCUGGUUCUCUGCGAAAUCUAUUUAGGUAGAGCGUCAUCCGAAUACCCUCGGGGGUAGAGCACUGGAUGGGCUAUGGGGACUCACCGUCUUACUGAUCCUAACCAAACUCCGAAUACCGAGGAGUACUAGUCGGCAGACACACGGCGGGUGCUAACGUCCGUCGUGAAAAGGGAAACAACCCUGACCUCCAGCUAAGGUCCCCAAGUCAUGGCUAAGUGGGAAAGGAUGUGAGACUCCCAAAACAACCAGGAUGUUGGCUUAGAAGCAGCCAUCAUUUAAAGAAAGCGUAACAGCUCACUGGUCUAAAUAAGUUGUCCUGCGGCGAAGAUGUAACGGGGCUCAAGCCAUGAGCCGAAGCUUAGGAUGCACAUAGUGCAUGGUAGCAGAGCGUAGUG